GACGAACGCUGGCGGCGUGCUUAACACAUGCGAGUCGAGCGGGGAUCCGGGACUUCGGUUCUGGAUUCUAGCGGCGGACGGGUGAGUAACGCGUGAACAAUCUGUCCCAGACAGGGGGAUAACAGAUGGAAACAUCUGCUAAUACCGCAUAAGACCACGACACCACAUGGUGAUGAGGUAAAAGAUUUAUCGGUCUGGGGUGAGUUCGCGUCCGAUUAGCUAGUUGGUGAGGUAACGGCCCACCAAGGCGACGAUCGGUAGCCGACCUGAGAGGGUGAUCGGCCACAUUGGAACUGAGACACGGUCCAAACUCCUACGGGAGGCAGCAGUGGGGAAUAUUGGGCAAUGGGCGCAAGCCUGACCCAGCAACGCCGCGUGAGGGAAGAAGGUUUUCGGAUUGUAAACCUCUGUCCUCAAGGACGAAGGAAGUGACGGUACUUGAGGAGGAAGCCCCGGCUAACUACGUGCCAGCAGCCGCCGUAACAC
rnacentral:rRNA from 1 species